GCUGCAGUUAAUAGCAGGAGCCUUAUCCUAUCUGGGCUCCUCUCAGUGGGCUGCAGCUUCCUUCAGGGCAUAUCUGUCUACUCCAGUUUGGUCUUUUCCACAGGCUGAGGGAGAAGUCUUGGAUCUGGGGCCUGAUUCACCUCCUCCCCAUCCUUCUUCAUUGACCUUGGAGCCUGCAGGUGAAUUAAGGAGAAUGGAAAGGAGGGGGAUUAUGUGUUCCACUGUGAGAGCUGCUUGGUAACAUGUAGGCAAGUAAGCUAUAAAGAUGUUCUCCAAACAGUUUCAUAGGUUUUGUGUACCAAAAAGGACAGUGAUGAACCUCCAAACCCAUUAAAAAAAUAAUUCUCUCAACUUGAAGUGAUUACUAUUUGGAGUGGACUAUCUGAAUCCACACUGAAGAAUGCUUGGUGCAGAUUUUUCAGCAGGAUAAUGUUUUGACCUUAUAGCCUCAUGACUUAACUCUGUGUAUGUAAUUUCCAUUUCAAGGCAUCUAAAAAAAUCAACUCAGAUCAAAAAUUGCAAAAAUAUUUUGUGAGAGGCUGAGAGGACAUGUUUUGUCCUUCUUGAAGUGUAGAAUGAAAGCAGGUGGGAUCAAAAAGUUUGCUCAGACAGUUGUUAGAGAAACGUUCCUACGUGUAACACCUAGCACAAUGCAUAUCCAUAAAUCAUGUAUCUGAACUGAAUUCCAAAGCAAAAUAUUCAUUCAGUCAGGAUCACUUUUAGAAGAAGACAGUGUGUCUUCAUCUUCUUCUGAACCAGCAUAUAUGCAACACUGACAACUCAGUGGUCCUAGAAUCUGGAGGAAACCAGUGAGAAAUUUCUUAGGACAGAAAAUGCCUAAGUACUUUUUCUCCUUAGCUAUAUUUGAGAUUAAACAGAUGAGUUUC
ensembl:lncRNA